rnacentral:rRNA from 1 species
GACGAACGCUGGCGGCGUGCUUAACACAUGCAAGUCGAACGGAGAAGCUCCGGGUUUCUGGCUUGGAUGAUUGGCGAACGCGUGAGUGACACGUGAGCAACCUGCCCCUGACUCAGUGAGAAACGCUGGAGAAGGCGGCUCAUACUGGGUACGAUAAGGUUACGCAUGGGCACUUUCUGGAAAGUUGUGCGUUGGUGGAUCGGCUCGCAGCCUAUCAGCUUGUUGGGGAGGUAAGGGCUCACCAAGGCGACGACGGGUAGCCGGCAUGAGAGGGCGACCGGCCACAAUGGGACUGAGAGACGGACCAGACUGCUACGGGCGGCAGUAGUGGGGAAUAUUGCACAACGGGCGAAAGCCUGAUGCAGAGACGCCGCGUGCGGGAUGACGGCUUUCGGGUUGUAAACCUAUUUCAGCAGGGAAGAAGCGAAAGUGACGGUACCUGCAGAAGAAGCAACGGCUAACUACGUG